CCUACGGGAGGCAGCAGUGGGGAAUAUUGCACAAUGGGGGAAACCCUGAUGCAGCGACGCCGCGUGAGUGAAGAAGGAUGUCGGGAUGUAAAGCUCUGUCAGCAGGGAAGAAAAUGACGGUACCUGAGCAAGAAGACCCGGCUAACUACGUGCCAGCAGCCGCGGUAAUACGUAGGGGGCAAGCGUUAUCCGGAUUUACUGGGUGUAAAGGGAGCGUAGACGGCCGGGCAAGUCUGGAGUGAAAGGCGGGGGCUCCACCCCCGGACUGCUCUUGAAACUGCAAGGCUUGAGUGCAGGAGAGGUCAGUCGCAUUCCUCGUGUCGCGGUGCACUGCGUCGCUAUUAGGCG
rnacentral:rRNA from 1 species